GAUAUCGUCAUGUUGGCUUGUUAUUCUUGAAACUCAAAUUUCUGCAGUUGGAAAAAACGAGAAUGUGAGUAACAUUUAACGAAACAAAAAAUUGUGAUACGGAACAGAAGAGUUCUGCAUGACCUUUUUAUGAGUUCUCGCAAUGAUCCUCCUCGAAUUGAGUGCGCGUCAAAAUGGCGUUGUCACGGAGACGUGUGGAACCAUAAAUUCGUAAGUAAUUAUUGCUGGUUUAGCCAGUUUUUAUCGGGCCUUCAGCGGUAACCCAGGGCAGUGUCUUAACACUUUGAAACUCCCAACUACCCAUUGGAAAAGAGUUCAAAUUUGACCAUUGUUUCCAUUAACUUUAAGGUAAUUUGAUCGCUUUUGCUUCUGAAUUCAUUUUUCAUUGCGCCUAACGACCGAAAGCGAAACUAAAACGCAUUUUAGUAACAAACACCACAAAGUUUAAGUGGACACCAGGUAAGAUAAUCUGUGAUGAACGAAAUUCGAUAAGAUUUCGCCUCUUGAAUGUGCUAUAAAAGCGUAGCCUUUUUAUCGUGAUUAAGUAUAUACAGAACUCAACAUGAUUAAGCUACUGAUCGUGACUGUUCUACUAAUGGUAUUAGUUGGCAUGGUAGUAGCAAAAAAAAGAAAUUGCAAAGAAGGCUGUUAUUGCACCUGGAAAGGAUGUAGUGCAGGCGAAGACGUAUGCGGCGUCUGUGCGAAUCAUAAAACUGAAUGCUGCAAGGAAUAACAAGAAGCCUGGGGGCAAUGAAAUAACCAACUUCGUUCCUACAAAAUACGCUUGCAUUAAUUAUACAUUGAAUGUAAAUAAUUAAAUAAAUCAUAUAAUAUAAAA